AAAUUGAAGAGUUUGAUCAUGGCUCAGAUUGAACGCUGGCGGCAGGCCUAACACAUGCAAGUCGAACGGUAACAGGAAGCAGCUUGCUGCUUCGCUGACGAGUGGCGGACGGGUGAGUAAUGUCUGGGAAACUGCCUGAUGGAGGGGGAUAACUACUGGAAACGGUGGCUAAUACCGCAUAACGUCGCAAGACCAAAGAGGGGGACCUUCGGGCCUCUUGCCAUCAGAUGUGCCCAGAUGGGAUUAGCUUGUUGGUGAGGUAACGGCUCACCAAGGCGACGAUCCCUAGCUGGUCUGAGAGGAUGACCAGCCACACUGGAACUGAGACACGGUCCAGACUCCUACGGGAGGCAGCAGUGGGGAAUAUUGCACAAUGGGCGCAAGCCUGAUGCAGCCAUGCCGCGUGUAUGAAGAAGGCCUUCGGGUUGUAAAGUACUUUCAGCGGGGAGGAAGGUGUUGCGGUUAAUAACCGCAGCAAUUGACGUUACCCGCAGAAGAAGCACCGGCUAACUCCGUGCCAGCAGCCGCGGUAAUACGGAGGGUGCAAGCGUUAAUCGGAAUUACUGGGCGUAAAGCGCACGCAGGCGGUCUGUCAAGUCGGAUGUGAAAUCCCCGGGCUCAACCUGGGAACUGCAUUCGAAACUGGCAGGCUUGAGUCUUGUAGAGGGGGGUAGAAUUCCAGGUGUAGCGGUGAAAUGCGUAGAGAUCUGGAGGAAUACCGGUGGCGAAGGCGGCCCCCUGGACAAAGACUGACGCUCAGGUGCGAAAGCGUGGGGAGCAAACAGGAUUAGAUACCCUGGUAGUCCACGCCGUAAACGAUGUCUACUUGGAGGUUGUGCCCUUGAGGUGUGGCUUCCGGAGCUAACGCGUUAAGUAGACCGCCUGGGGAGUACGGCCGCAAGGUUAAAACUCAAAUGAAUUGACGGGGGCCCGCACAAGCGGUGGAGCAUGUGGUUUAAUUCGAUGCAACGCGAAGAACCUUACCUGGUCUUGACAUCCACAGAAGAAUCCAGAGAUGGAUUUGUGCCUUCGGGAACUGUGAGACAGGUGCUGCAUGGCUGUCGUCAGCUCGUGUUGUGAAAUGUUGGGUUAAGUCCCGCAACGAGCGCAACCCUUAUCCUUUGUUGCCAGCGGUCCGGCCGGGAACUCAAAGGAGACUGCCAGUGAUAAAGUGGAGGAAGGUGGGGAUGACGUCAAGUCAUCAUGGCCCUUACGACCAGGGCUACACACGUGCUACAAUGGCGCAUACAAAGAGAAGCGACCUCGCGAGAGCAAGCGGACCUCAUAAAGUGCGUCGUAGUCCGGAUUGGAGUCUGCAACUCGACUCCAUGAAGUCGGAAUCGCUAGUAAUCGUGGAUCAGAAUGCCACGGUGAAUACGUUCCCGGGCCUUGUACACACCGCCCGUCACACCAUGGGAGUGGGUUGCAAAAGAAGUAGGUAGCUUAACCUUCGGGAGGGCGCUUACCACUUUGUGAUUCAUGACUGGGGUGAAGUCGUAACAAGGUAACCGUAGGGGAACCUGCGGUUGGAUCACCUCCUUA
rnacentral:rRNA from 1 species